rnacentral:antisense_RNA from 1 species
CUUCAACGACCCCAACCACAACGGCCGGUCCGCACCCGGCCGCUCCUGACCAUAGGUGUUCAGCAACGCCUGCGCCUC